CGGUAAUUCCAGCUCCAAUAGCGUAUACUAAAGUUGUUGCAGUUAAAAAGCUCGUAGUUGGAUUUCUGCGGGGACGGAGCGGCCGGACGCAACUUGCGUCUCGAGCUAGCGCUUUCCCCGCAUCCUGCCGCGAACCGUGCUACCAUUAGCUUGGUGGCGCUGGGGAUCGGCUCGAUUACUUUGAGAAAAAUAGAGUGUUCAAAGCAGGCCACACGCCUUGAAUAAGUUAGCAUGGAAUAAUGACUAAGGACUUCGGUUCUAUUUUGUUGGUGUUCGGGACUGAAGUAAUGAUUGAUAGGGACAGUUGGGGCGGUCUGUAUUCCAAAGCGAGAGGUGAAAUUCUUAGACCUUCGGAAGACAAACAGCUGCGAAAGCGUUCAGCAAGGAUGUUCCCCUUGAUCAAGAACGAAAGUUGGGGGAUCGAAGACGAUCAGAUACCGUCGUAGUCUCAACUAUAAACUAUACCAGCUAGGGAUCGGCCAACGUUUAAUUAUUCGACUUGGUCGGCACCUUAUGAGAAAUCAAAGCAUCUGGGUUCCGGGGGGAGUAUGGUCGCGAGGCUGAAACUUAAAGGAAUUGACGGAAGGGCACCACCAGCCGUGGAGCCUGUGGCUUAAUUUGACUCAACACGGGAAAACUUACCAGGUCCAGACAUAGGAAGGAUUGACAGAUUGAUGGCUCUUUCUUGAUUCUGUGGGUGGUGGUGCAUGGCCGUUUUUAGUUGGUGGAGUGAUUUGUCUGCUUAAUUGCGUUAACGAACGAGACCCCAGCCUGCUAAAUAGCGCGGCCGAGCUUUGCUCGGUGCGAGCUUCUUAGAGGGACCAUGAUGCGCGAUAGCACAAGGAAGUUUGGGGCAACAACAGGUCUGUGAUGCCCUUAGAUGUUCUGGGCCGCACACGGGCUACACUGGCGCCUGCAACGAGCAUAUCAGCUGGCCCGAGAGGGUCUUGGCUAAUCUUUUGAACCGGCGCCGCGCUUGGGAUUGACCUUUGCAAUUGUUGGUCAUGCAACGAGGAAUGCCUUGUAAACGCGAGUCACCAGCUCGCAUUGAAUACGUCCCUGCCCUUUGUACACACCGCCCGUCGCUCCUACCGAUGAAUGUUCCGAUGAAAUUUUCGGAGAGCGCCAGAGAACGGGGCUCUGCCUUGCAGAUCUGGAGGCUCAAAGUCACUUAAAUCUGAACAUUUCGAGGAAGGAGAAGUCGUAACAAGGUAACC
rnacentral:rRNA from 1 species